rnacentral:rRNA from 1 species
UACGGAGGGUGCAAGCGUUAUCCGGAUUCACUGGGUUUAAAGGGUGCGUAGGUGGGCAGGUAAGUCAGUGGUGAAAUCUCCGGGCUUAACCCGGAAACUGCCAUUGAUACUAUCAGUCUUGAAUACCGUGGAGGUAAGCGGAAUACGUCAUGUAGCGGUGAAAUGCUUAGAUAUGACAUAGAACACCAAUUGCGAAGGCAGCUUACUA